UACCUCAUUGACUGGAAGGAAUCCCUUCUGGUUGAUGAGGUUGUUACACCUCAUUGACUGGAAGGAAUCCCUUCUGGUCAUGAGGUU
rnacentral:miRNA from 1 species